UGACCGUUAGCUCAGUUGGUUAGAGCGCCAGACUUUUAAUCUGGAUGUCAUCCGUUCAAAUCGGAUACGGUCAA
rnacentral:tRNA from 1 species